AGUUUUCACGCUUCGUAGAUUUCUGUAACAUGUCUUCUGAAAGUUAUUUGCAUCAUGAAGAACCUGGCACACGCCUGCCACAGCCCUGCAAUUAGGAGCUUGAAGUUACAGAGUAAGGCAGCGGGCGGAGGAGGAGGAGGAGGAAGGGUCACGUCCACUCUCGACGUGGCUAAUUUAGCCAGAGGUCAGGCAAUAUCACGGCAGGAGGAGGUUAGUAGUGAAGGAGGGUGGUGUAUGGGUGGGCAUGAGACUGCCGCCUCAGCAGGGAUUAUCCUGCACCAGGAACAAGAGCAUUUUAAUGCAGGGAUAAGGAAAACAAUAAUGGGCAGGAAAGAGAAGAACCGUACUUGUAAAGGCAACCGGGCACAAGGUGGAGGAGCGUGACCUCUGAUUUGUUCUGGUCAAUAGUCUGUUAAAGCAAUCCAAUCCACGCAAUUUCCCCUCUACUCCAAGUGUAGCCCCUCUGUCAAGACAUGUUAGCUUCUUCUUUGCUGUGUCUGGAGCUAUGAAGCUAAUGUAACUAACAAGCGCACAGCUCACCAGUUAGCACUGUGCUCGCAUCAUUCCACAGAGAACCUGAAGCGUUAUAGCAUAGGGACGUUUUAUUUUUGAGGUAAAAGGGACACGGUGCAAUUUUUUUACUGGUAGCAGUGGUCAUCUCACACCUCGAUUCUCUAUUGCAAUGCCAUACUAACAGGACUCAAGGCCUGUGUUAUAAAACUACUUCCAAUGCAGCAACAUGCUUGGUCUUAAACCAGGCAAAACGGUCACAUGUCACCCCACUGCUCAUUGAGCUCCAUUGGCUACCAGUUGAUGUUGGUAUCAAAUUCAAAGCUCUUACAAUCGCCUACAAGGUGAUGACAGAACAGGCUCCUUCCUACCUGCACAAACAUUCACACAAAGCAAUCCAGACUGUUCUCAUACAGAGUUUCCCAAUGGUGGAACAAACUACCUUCCACUACCAGAUCAGGAGAAUCUCUCGCUAUCUUUAAGAAACUCCUGAAGACAGAGCUCUUCAAAGAGCACUUACUCUCCUCUUUCUGCUAACCUCAUUUCCUUCUUCCUCUCCUUUCCUUCUCUAUCCCACUAUUUCCCUUUAGCCUCCCUCAUGCCUUGUCUUAUUUUUAUUUUUUUUUAACCUUAAACUUCUAUGUCUUCUGUUACUCUAUGUACAUCCUUAUUGUCGGUCGCUUUGGACAAAAGUGUCUGCCAAAUGUAAUGUAAUAAGAUGACGUGGUAACCCCUAAUACUAUGUGGGGAGCUCCAGAUACUAGAUAGUGAGCACUAGACGCUAUGGAGUGAGCACCAGAUACUGUGCGGUAAGCACCAAAUACAAUUGGUGAGCACCAGACACUGUUUUGUGUUGGACCUUCUUUUGGCCUUU
rnacentral:lncRNA from 1 species